rnacentral:rRNA from 1 species
GGCGAUUCUUCCACGGCGCUCGAAGCGCGUCGUGGUAUUUCGCGUAUUGUAAUUUCAACACGAGCGGGGUCAAAUCCUUUGCAGACGACUUAGCUGUGCGAAACGGUCCUGUAAGCAGUAGAGUAGCCUUGUUGUUACGAUCUGCUGAGGGGUAAGCCGUCCUUCGCCUCGAUUUCCCCAAUGGGUUCUCCGGAUUUCUGGAGACUUGUAGGGGUUGUGGGAUUUUUGAUGUGUCGUCUCCGGACGGGCGGUGCAGGGUAGUCGAGUUAGACUUGGUGGAAUUCCGUCGAUAGGAGUUCCGUCGAGUCUGGUCGGCUGUGUGUUGGACGGUGUAGGGUAGGCUGCUUGGACAUGGUCGGUUCGAGGAUCGAUUCGAGGGCCGGCCUGUCGAUGAUGUGUGAUGUAUGCGGUCUAGGGUAGGUUGGUUUGUCUUGGUUCGAUUUGAUGUCGGCUCCCGUGCAGGCCAGAGUGAGGGGGGUCCAGGGUAGGUGCAGGGUAGGCAGCUUAGAUUUGGUCGAUCUGGAGGUCGAUUCUCCGGCUGGCGGAUCUGACACUGUCGAAACGAGAUGCGAGGGGUGUAGGGUAGGCUAGUUUCGUACUUGCCAGGGUUGCGAUUUGGACGAGAUAUGUGGUUUAGGGUAGGCUCUAGGGUAAGUAGAAUUCGAGUUUCGUCGCCGAUAGUUUUCUGUGGGUGUAUGGUAGGUACAGGGUAGGCAAAUCUCUCUCCGGCCAGUACUUGUCUCGUGGUCGUGAGUCGAUUUUUUUGUUUUGCCAUACUAUUGAAUUUUGCGGAAAUUCAAAAGUGGCUCGGGAGUCCCGCCUGGCGUGCGUCCGACUCNAACAUCG